GACGAACGCUGGCGGCGUGCUUAACACAUGCAAGUCGAACGGUAAGGCCCUUCGGGGUACACGAGUGGCGAACGGGUGAGUAACACGUGGGUGAUCUGCCCUGCACUUCGGGAUAAGCCUGGGAAACUGGGUCUAAUACCGGAUAGGACUCCUGGCUUCAUGGUUGGGGGUGGAAAGCUUUUGCGGUGUGGGAUGGGCCCGCGGCCUAUCAGCUUGUUGGUGGGGUAAUGGCCUACCAAGGCGACGACGGGUAGCCGGCCUGAGAGGGUGACCGGUCACACUGGGACUGGGAUACGGCCCAGACUCGUACGGGAGGCAGCAGAGGGGAAUAUUGCACAAUGGGCGCAAGCCGGAUGCAGCGACGCCGCGUGAGGGAUGACGGCCUUCGGGUUGUAAACCUCUUUCAGCACCGACGAAGCGCAAGUGACGGUAGGUGCAGAAGAAGGACCGGCCAACUACGUGCCAGCCGCCGCCGUAA
rnacentral:rRNA from 1 species